rnacentral:lncRNA from 1 species
UAAAAUAAUAUUAAUUACACGUACAACAUACGUUCUUUUUGCUAGUAUAAAUAAAAGGGUAAAUAUCACUUUAUAUUCCAAUGUAUUAGCGUUUUAACGAAUAUGUCCCAUCGUUCGGAUAAGUGCGAACAAGUACCCAACGUAUGAUUUUUUUUUGUCCCGUAAAAAUUUUCCGUUAAGGGAACAAUGACGUGGAUAGAUGGAACAGUGACAUGGCUUUUAUGGCCCAAAAAACUAAAAAAAAGAAAGAAAUAAAAUUACACAUCAUUAACUUUAAGUCAAAUGACUAUUUAACAAAUUAAAAAAACUUUAAGUUUUCGGGCAGCGAGAAGAAUACAACCCUCUAAUUUUCCCAAAUUUGAAGUUCGAACUCUUUCCGCCAUUUGUCUUCGAAAAUUCCAGCGCAACAACACACCACCGCCGCCGUUGCAAAUUCGCCGCCGGCUAUGACCAGCGACGGCGCCAUCCCUUUCUCCUUUCACUUCGUCCAAUGGCAUACUGCUCCCCCUCAAAGGCUCAAAGCCAGCUCUCCCGGCGCCAUUCCUCCCCAGUCACCCGUCGGCAACAUCCACAAACUCCAGCCCCUCUCUUGACUCAUCAAAUCCCCUCAGCUAAGAUAAAAUUUGAAGUUAGAGGAACUUUGUGUGUUCUUCUAUCUCUUCCCGUCAACUUUUUUUUCUUCUUCUAAUUAGUCAUUUGAGUUAAAGUUAAUGAUGUGUUAUUUUAUUUUUUUUUUUUUUUUUNUUUUGGGGCCUAUAAAAGCCAUGUCACUGUUCCGUCGACGGAAAUUUUUACGGGACAAAAAUGAUAAAAUUUGCAUACGUUGGGUACUUUUUUGCACUUAUUCAAACGAUAGGACAUAUUCGUUAAUACGUUGGGAUAUAAAGUGAUAUUUACCCUAAAUAAAAUGGGGGACAACUGCUAAAAUAACAGAAAAACUUACACGAACCUAGCUUGAUAACCUUGUGGUAUGUUAUGUAACGUGACACUUUCACAGUGCCUCUAUAAAUUGUACCCCAUAUUUAGAAAACAUCUCUAACAAGCUUGAAGAUAUUAGACAGCAUAGACUGCUCAUUUGAAUAAUGUCUAUUCUCAACUGAUUAUGCAGUAUUCGAAGGCCAAUUUUGGACCGUGGAACAAAAGCGAUCCUGAGCUAUUUAAAGGAUAGAAUUGUCCAGCAGUAACAGGUUCGUAUUUCCUCCAUGACGACAGUGGCGAACUUGCGGUUCCCGUUGACGAGCUGAGUAGCAUAAACUCUUAAUAUCACUCAUGUUCCCGUUGGUGUGUUAUGUAUAAAUUAGUAUUGUCUAUUGUAUCAAAGCAUUUCAUCAAGCUGGAAUUGUAUCCCAGUUAAGUUUUUAACUCAUUGCUUCGCCUUGCGGUUUCCAUCGCCUAAAUGUGUUGUUGUGAUGUAUUCAAGUAUUAUAUUCACAUUCCUACUAGAUAAUCUUUUAUCUAUGAGUCAAGUAUGAUUCGUGCUGUGGAAAAUUACAUCAGAGCUGAUUUGGUUUUGUUUUGAUAUCCGUAUAAAGCUUGCAGAUUUCCACGACAUAAGAAGAGUUAUUAGCUGUUCUUGUCGGUAAAUUCUACCAUUCACCAAGGUCUCCAGCACUCCCACCUCGGAUGCGCGACACGUGGCAAAGCUAACUUUAUGAAUUGUUAUUUUUCUUUUGCAACUAAUAGUUAACACCGUCAAAUUCUCCCAUCUACCACUCAUUACGUUCUUGGGAAUAGAUAAGUCUCGGUAUCAGACUUCGGCAAUUUUUGUGGCCGAGUGUUUUGGCAACAUUGGCACAUUUGUACUUUUGGGCGCGAUUUUUCGAAUUCCUUUUUUGGUGGGGAUCAAAUGGAGACUUUUGGGUUUUCUUUGUCCAUUUUCUUUCCCACGAAUUCUGAGCUUGUUUUGAAGCUCUUCAUUGAUCUUAAAUGAAAAAUUAAAUUGUA